CUCUGCCCCAUUCUCCACUUCAACCACCCUCUCUCGUGUUACUCUCUCUGUCUGUCUUCGUCCUCGCCGGACACCACUCCUGUGACCACCACCACUCUCCUCUUUCUCACUCUCUUACUCUCAGAGAGUCUCUCUCUCGCUCCCUCUCUCAAUCCUCACUCACCCCAACCCUUGAACCACCCCCACGCCCCCCCUGAAAACCCCUGAACCCCCACCCCCCCAUUUUUCCUUUUGCCCUAAAUUUCUCUCACUUGAUAACAUCGGUUCGCAUCGCGGGUGCUCACCAGGACACCAUUGUACUUGAUUUACUGCGUUAGCGUGGGCUUCGUAGUCACUUUGAGGUAUGAAGUUCUAACUUGAAAUUAUAUUUUUUAAAAUAACAAAAUUGUGAAAAACAUGAUUGUUGAUUAUGCUAUUUUGAUGCUAUUGUUGAUUAGAAGAAUGGCGUGAUUAAUUGUUUAAAUGCUGGCCUUAUUUUAUGUAAUUAAUUACAUGCUGAACUGAUAGAUGAUUGACCGUGUGAGCCUUGUCAAUUUAUUUAAUUGUUAGGGUCAACAUAGUUCGAACUAGAGGAGUUUCAUCAAUUCUUACUAGAGGCGCAUUAGAGGACAGACAUCAUGUUACUCCAGAUCCAGAUGACAUGACAGUAUUAUAUUUGCAGAACCAGCAUCGGUCUAAUAAUAUUUGGAGCGAACAGAUUACUUGACCCAUAUUGUAUUAUUUAAUUUUGAAUUGAUUAUAUUUUAUUUAUCAAUAUUCAUUAGAUUGCUUGUUUUUGAGUGAUGAUUCAGUGACAGUUUGUCAGCCACACCAAAUUUAUGAUUUGGACAAGUGUGUUCGUCCUUUUUGUUAUUGCAUUGAAUUUAUGAGAUCAAACGGGCAUAAAUCUUGAACUGAUUAGAUUUGAGACGAUUAGAAUUGAUUUGACAUUGAAGCGCGUGUCGCCGCGCUACUAUGCAUGCAUGUGGGCAACCUGAACUCCCCUUCAUAAUGUACCCGCGAUGAAGAAAAUAAAAGUGUAAAUUCCACUAAUCUUCCGUGAGCUUUUAACCAAUACAGUCAUGUUCUGUAAUUAAAAAAAUAUCAAUGAACUUUUUUUUUUAAAUUAAUGUUAAGGGUUUUUUUAUAAUUAAUUUUAUAAAAAAUUGUUAAAUUUAUUCUUUGAUUUAGGAUUUUUAAUUUUUUCUUCUCAAUAUAUACAUAUUAAAAUAAAUAAAUAUUUAUAUUUAAAAAAUAUUUACUGACAACAUUUAUUAUUAAAUAUAAGUAAAAUAUUUAGAUUAUUUUAUUAAAAAAAUAUUCAUAAUAAAAAAAUUAAUUAUUUUCAAAAUGCAACCUUUAGUCGUCAUAUUAUCAAUCAACUUUGCCUUGCAAUAAGGCGAAAUGAACUAAUUCUUAUAAAAUAUUUUUAAAAUGUAUUAUUUUUAUAAAUUAUUUUGACAAAUAUAAUAUCUAAACAAACCUCCAACCAAAGCUCCAUAUAAAAAAAUUACUUCAAUUUUGUGUUUUUGUAAAUUAAGACCAGGUUUGGGAUAAAUUUUUCUCGUCUUUAAUGAAUUUUUUUUGUUAGAUAAUUUUUUUAUAUUUUUUUAUUUUUCUUGAUUAGAAGAGUUUGAAAAUAUAAAAUAAAACCAUCUAAUUUUAAAAAAAAUACUAAAGACGAAAAAAAUUAAUUUUAUCCCAAAAUAUCUAAAAUUAAUUUUUUUGGUCUUAAGUGAACUGUUUGUUCAAAUUCAAUAAAAGAAUUUAUAUUCUCAAACUCCUCUCGUCAAGAAAAAUUAUAAAAUUAUAAAACUUUAAUGAAAUAAUGAUAAAGUUCACUAAAUACAAAAAAACUCGAAAAUCAAACAGCUAAAAAACAAUUGAGACAAAUUAGACAAAUACACUUAAUAAAAUCGAAAGAUCAUAAAAGAAACAAAAAUUAAAGAGAUAUCAAUAAAAACUGUGAAAUGACGCAAAUAUUAAUAUAUUUUAUAAAAAUUUAAAAGAUCAUAAUUUAAAUAUUUUGAGAGAACGUGGAGGAUUGAUAGAGUUUUUUGAAAAUAGAAAUAGAACUCAAAAUUUUGAUUGGAAUUGGCAUAAAAUAGUAUUUUGAAUCUCCAUUUAAAAAUAUGAUUUUGACUCUUUAUUUUGGGACUUGGGUUGGAGAUCCUCUAAACAAGACGAGUAUAUAUAUAUAUAUAUAUAUAUACACCAUCAUGUUUACACAAGUAAAAAGGCAAUAUGAUAAUACAAUAGCAAGUUGGCAAUCUUGACUUGAACCAAUCAAGCCAGCUUGCUUUUUUUUUUUUUGCAGGUUGGGCUUGCUUAGCGUAUGUUUGGUAACGUUUUUACAUUUUUAUUUUUUGUGUUUGUUUUAUUUUUAUUUCGUUUUGUUUUAUUUUUUAUAAAACAUAAAAUAAAAAUAUAUUUGUGUUUAUUUUUUUAAACUAUUUUUAAAAAUAAAAAUAUAUUUGUAUUCAUAUUUUUUUAAACUAUUUUUAAAAAAAAUAGUGACUGU
rnacentral:lncRNA from 1 species